AACGAACGCUGGCGGCAGGCUUAACACAUGCAAGUCGAGCGCCCCGCAAGGGGAGCGGCAGACGGGUGAGUAACGCGUGGGAACGUACCCUUUACUACGGAACAACUCCGGGAAACUGGAGCUAAUACCGUAUGUGCCCUUUGGGGGAAAGAUUUAUCGGUAAAGGAUCGGCCCGCGUUGGAUUAGCUAGUUGGUGGGGUAAAGGCCUACCAAGGCGACGAUCCAUAGCUGGUCUGAGAGGAUGAUCAGCCACAUUGGGACUGAGACACGGCCCAAACUCCUACGGGAGGCAGCAGUGGGGAAUAUUGGACAAUGGGCGCAAGCCUGAUCCAGCCAUGCCGCGUGAAUGAUGAAGGCCUUAGGGUUGUAAAGUUCUUUCACCGGAGAAGAUAAUGACGGUAUCCGGAGAAGAAGCCCCGGCUAACUUCGUGCCAGCCGCCGCCGUAACAC
rnacentral:rRNA from 1 species